rnacentral:rRNA from 1 species
AGAUUGAACGCUGGCGGCAUGCCUAACACAUGCAAGUCGAACGGUAACAGGUCUUCGGAUGCUGACGAGUGGCGGACGGGUGAGUAAUGCGUAGGAAUCUGUCUUUUAGUGGGGGACAACCCAGGGAAACUUGGGCUAAUACCGCAUGAGCCCUGAGGGGGGAAAAGCGGGGGGAUCUUCGGACCUCGCGCUAAGAGAGGAGCCUACGUCCGAUUAGCUAGUUGCGGGGUAAAGGCCCACCAAGGCGACGAUCGGUAGCUGGUCUGANAGGACGACCAGCCACACUGGGACUGAGCAGGCCCAGACUCCUACGGGAGGCAGC